GGUAUUUCCAAGUGUUACAGCUGCAGAGAGAAGGAACAGGGAAUGCUGUUUUGGAUCACACUGGGAUUACGGUCUGCAAAUUACAGAAAUUGAUCUCUCCUUUACACGCUCAUUUGUGCCUGAUUCCAUUCAGCUCUGUCUUUUGGACAUCUGCCAGUGGCACCACACAUUCCAAGCACUGGGGUAAGGUUUCUAGAAUGGAAGUUGACUGGCAGUUUUGCUCUUUGUUUUGAAUACUGCUGUAGGCUUUUCGGAAGAGGAGUUUCUUUGUGUGGUAGAUGUGGUUCAGAGGUAAUAAGUUUGAACUUGCAUUGUGGCAGUUUUUUGUAUUUUAUAAUGAUGAUCUUAACCGCUAGCAUCCUUUUAUAGUUUAAUUAAACAUCAAAGACCGAUUUCAAGUCUAGCACCUUAACUUGGAAUUAGGGCUUGUUUGCUUUUCAUUCCCAUGGUAGGAACGACUACGUAACUGCUUUUUUUGGUCUGUUUUUUUUUUUUUUUUGAAUCUGAUUGUAAAAGCAUUGCAUGGAACAAUGAGAGUCUGAGAUACAGUAAAAGCUGCUGGUGUUAAAGCAAACUAAAUUCAGUUACAAAGUAUAUUUUGGCUUUCGUGUAAGGAAGCUGGGAUGGUCAAAUAUCACUUUCAUUUACAGUAAUUCCAGGUACAAUACCAUGGUAUGGUAUUACAUUUCCAUCAUCUAAUGACUUACAGGUGGUAUCCUGUAUUGCUUAAAUACUUCCCUUGUCUUACUAUUCCCUCCAUUUCCAAAGCAAAUUGCUCCAUUUUUCUCCUUUGAAAUGACCCAAAACUGCCCUGGACAGUCCUGAAAAUGAUCCUCAUUUAGCCAAUUAGAGCUGCGCCAGGAACAAGCUCUCUCUUUCUGUCAUCAGACUGUGUGUCAUCAUUGCUGCACACCGCUAGAGUACUGGACACCCUGUGAUGUACUGUCAUCUAGGCCUAGACAGCUAGGCCUGUCAGUGUCAAAGCAACCUGUAGUAUGUCUGUGGCACUGCCAACACGGCACACGGCGCUGUCACA
ensembl:lncRNA